AACGAACGCUGGCGGCGGGCUUAACACAUGCAAGUCGAACGGGUGUAGCAAUACAUCAGUGGCAGACGGGUGAGUAACACGUGGGAACCUUCCUAGGGGUACGGAACAACUCAGGGAAACUUGAGCUAAUACCGUAUACGUCCGCGAGGAGAAAGAUUUAUCACCCCUAGACGGGCCCGCGUGGGAUUAGCCAGUUGGUGGGGUAACGGCCUACCAAGGCGACGAUCCGUAGCUGAUCUUAGAGGAUGAUCAGCCACACUGGGACUGAGACACGGCCCAGACUCCUACGGGAGGCAGCAGUGGGGAAUCUUGGACAAUGGGCGCAAGCCUGAUCCAGCCAUGCCGCGUGAGUGAAGAAGGUCUUCGGAUUGUAAAGCUCUUUUGCCAGGGACGAUAAUGACGGUGCCUGGAGAAUAAGCCCCGGCAAACUUCGUGCCAGCCGCCGCCGUAA
rnacentral:rRNA from 1 species